CCCAAUGGAAUAUCUCCCUUACCAACGUACCGGUAGUAAAAAUGUGUACAUACGGUAUAAGGUACUCGUAUAUCGAUUGUGAAUGGAUCAGAGUGAAGACGUGUGCAAUUAGACUGGAUAACACACAUUUAUUUCAAUAAAAAGUAUUAAAAUUUGCAAUUACAGUUGACGGCUGUGAAUCGAAUUCGUGCAUUAAAAAAGGUUAUUGCGAAUUAAAUUAAUGGCACUUGAUUUUAAUUAUCUUAUUUUUGCAUCACAAAGAACUUCAUUUGUGUAACUGACUGCAGUCAGAAGGAAUGUCUUUAUGAGCCAGGAAAAAACUGAAACCAACAGCCUUCAAAAUCGCCGAAGAGGAAACUGACCAAAGGUGUAGGCUGCACCAUCACAAUGCAUGUCUAGCUCUCACCAAACCACGGAUGUGAUUUGAGUGGCAACGCUUCAAGACGGAGGCGUAUUGCCAAUGUAUUGUACCACACAGAGCGGUCCAUUUUCUGCAGUGCUCUAUGCUUUGGCAAUGGUAUGUACACUACGCUAUACGCAAUAGGUAGUAUGGCAAUCCAUCGUUCGCUACAAAUCACAUAAUAAUGACGUUGCUCUGAAAUGCACAGUAUUUUGUAGUGGAUGCGAAUGUGUGUCCAAACUCCGUUUCGUUGUCGGCUCCAAUCAUCUUAAAUAAAGUAUUACCGUUUAUAAUACAUAAUGUAAAACCCGUGUAGGCAUUUCAUCCAAAAUAUAUAGUGAACUCAAGACAUUUUAUAUUUUUAGGAUUUUAGUGAUAAUAUACAGAGUAAAUAUGUAACGUACGAAAGCGUC